AAGUCGUAACAAGGUUUCCGUAGGUGAACCUGCGGAAGGAUCAUUAACAAACUAGCCGUUCGAGCAGGGCAACCUGCUACGAUGUAAGACUACUAGUAACCCUUGAACAACAUACCUUUGUUGCUUUGGCGGGCCGCCUCACGGCCAGCGGCCUCGGCUGCUGCGCGCCCGCCAGAGGACCCCAACUCUUGAACUUUUAGUGAUGUCUGAGUACUAUAUAAUAGUUAAAACUUUCAACAACGGAUCUCUUGGUUCUG
rnacentral:misc_RNA from 1 species